rnacentral:rRNA from 1 species
AUGGCGCCGCCCUACUCUUCCCCUUCCUCCCCAUGGCGCUGCCCUACCCUUCCCCUUCCUCCCCAUGGCGCUGCCCUACCCUUCCCCUUCCUCCCCAUGGCGCCACCUCUCUCCUGCCCUUCUUCAUAUGGCGUCGCCCUUCUCCUCCACUUCCUCCCCAUAGUCGAUGUUGCUGAUGUGGAUGGUGGGGCCAAGGACGAUGGACUGGCUGGUGUCCAGGGCGGCAUGUGCGGUGUGGCCAAGAACGACGGCCAGCACACCACGGCAUCCUCCCCAAUCGUCACGCUGCUCCCUCCCCUACCAGAUCCAAUCUCGGGUCAACGCCAUCAUACGAGGUCUGCUUCUACUUACUAG